CUGAUCUCUUACAGAAAAGGAGGAAAGACAUGCAUUAAGCUGGAGCUGCAUCAGUCAACUGAACCACAAGAUGACCUUGAGGAUAAAAGUCAAGUGUUGAGGAUGGCAGAGCAGAAGCAUAGGAGGCUGAAUUCUUGCCGAAAUCACGAAGCUGCCAAAAGAGCACUGGACUGCUACCUCAGGACUUCUAUAACUUGAGAGAAAAACAUGCCUCUACCCUGUUUAAACCUGCUUUUUGUGUUAUGAAGACUAAUCCUAACAUACACAAAUGAAAAAUACACAUUUAAAAAUAAGGAUUAAAGAUCACUUUGAUAUUC